CUCAACUGUGGGCGUGCGGGCGAUACGGGCAGACUUGAGUACUGCAGGGGAGACUGGAAUUCCUGGUGUAGCGGUGGAAUGCGCAGAUAUCAGGAGGAACACCGGUGGCGAAGGCGGGUCUCUGGGCAGUAACUGACGCUGAGGAGCGAAAGCGUGGGGAGCGAACAGGAUUAGAUACCCUGGUAGUCCACGCCGUAAACGGUGGGUACUAGGUGUGGGUUUCCUUCCUUGGGAUCCGUGCCGUAGCUAACGCAUUAAGUACCCCGCCUGGGGAGUACGGCCGCAAGGCUAAAACUCAAAGAAAUUGACGGGGGCCCGCACAAGCGGCGGAGCAUGUGGAUUAAUUCGAUGCAACGCGAAGAACCUUACCUGGGUUUGACAUGCACAGGACGCCGGCAGAGAUGUCGGUUCCCUUGUGGCCUGUGUGCAGGUGGUGCAUGGCUGUCGUCAGCUCGUGUCGUGAGAUGUUGGGUUAAGUCCCGCAACGAGCGCAACCCUUGUCUCAUGUUGCCAGCGCGUUAUGGCGGGGACUCGUGAGAGACUGCCGGGGUCAACUCGGAGGAAGGUGGGGAUGACGUCAAGUCAUCAUGCCCCUUAUGUCCAGGGCUUCACACAUGCUACAAUGGCCGGUACAAAGGGCUGCGAUGCCGUGAGGUGGAGCGAAUCCUUUCAAAGCCGGUCUCAGUUCGGAU
rnacentral:rRNA from 1 species